rnacentral:rRNA from 1 species
UACGUAGGGCGCAAGCGUUGUCCGGAAUUAUUGGGCGUAAAGAGCUCGUAGGCGGCUUGUCACGUCGGAUGUGAAAGCCCGAGGCUUAACCUCGGGUCUGCAUUCGAUACGGGCUAGCUAGAGUGUGGUAGGGGAGAUCGGGAUUCCUGGUGUAGCGGUGAAAUGCGCAGAUAUCAGGAAGAACACCCGUGGCGAAGGCGGCUCUCUGGGACGGUACUGACGCUGAGACGCGAAAGCGUGGGGAGCGAACAGG